UUGUCAGGUUCAGUGUUAAGUUCGUUCGUUAAUUUAUGUUAUAACGUUAUAUGCUUUACGCUUCUUUUAUUUUUAGUUGGUCGUCCUCUCGCCUCUGUUCCCUCCUCGGCCUGGGGUUACUGCGAAUCUGGCGAUGAAGACUGAAGCUGCUAACGUUAUAUUCGAAUGGGACAGUUAUAUUGCUUCAAUUGGUCUCCUACUUCAUUUGAUUCCACCAUCAUUACAAGGCUGCAAGGGAUCUGGAAAAAUGUCAUCCUGUCAAGCUGAAAAACAUCUUCAAAAAGGCACUAACAAGAACAGCUUGAUUGCAGAGAAGAGACCACACAGCCAUACACGCUCACUGAUGGGACGAUGAGGAACAUCAUUCAUGGAUGCUACACAACUCAAAUCUACACGUCAUAUUUGUUCAUGUCUAGGUAAAUUUGAUGAUUUUGUGUUUUAUUAAUUACUUUGUUUCUGUGCAACACUUAAUGAAUGUGACUGACUAAUUAACCUCUACACAUCUGGUAUAUGCUUUAAAGUUGCCACUUUGCCCAUUUGUUCAAUAAAUGUUGAAAUGUAUACA
ensembl:lncRNA